ACACAGCAGAACAGACAGAACACAAGAGGUGAUCUCUCUCAGUUUCCAAGAGGAUGAGGCCGCACCGCACCGCAGCAGCUAGCGCGGGUGGGAUGUCAGGCAUGGCGCCACGCCACGCCGCGCCGCCCGCCUCCCUCCCUCCCUCCAUUAUGUCAGGCGUGAGCUCAUCCGUUGUUGGCCUCUGCCCAGGUCCUCUCCCCGCGGCUCGCCCUCCUCUCUCACGAGUCACGAAACCGGCUAGCUGUAGGGAGCGGCGAUGGAGGCGGACGAGCUGCUGAGGAAGAUACGGGAGCUGGAGCAGGGGCAGGCCGAGCUCGUGCGGGAGAUGGGCAGGCGGGCGCCGGGGCCCAGCCGCCGCCCCGCGUUCCCGCCGCGGCACCCCUCCUCGUCGCGGCGCGGAGUCGCCGCGCUCCCGGACCCGUCGCCGGGUCCGCGGCAGCUCCGCGACAACCGCGCCAGGCUCUCCGACAGGCACUGCCACUGGAUACUGCAGUCGCUGGGCCAGGCCGUGCACAUCAUCGCGCCCGACGGCAAGCUCCUCUACUGGAACCGGUAUGCCGAGCAUAUGUAUGGCUAUUCUGCAUCAGAAGCAAUUGGCCAGGAUGCCAUUGAGUUAAUUGUUCAUCCUACAGACUUUGAUGCUGCAAAGGUCGUUAUCCAGAAUAUAUUUAUGGGCAAGUGUUUUAGAGGAAAGUUUCCUGUUAAAAACAAGUCAGGAGAAAGGUUCUUUAUUGUUGUCCAUAACACUCCUUUAUAUGAUGACGAUGGUAGCUUGAUUGGCCUCAUAUGUGUCUCGCUUGAUGUACGGACACUGCAGGACAUAUUUAGUCCUUCAACCACAGAGAAAUCCUGUCAAAGUUCAUCAAAGCCCCAUUUUCAUGAUAACAACUGGCCUAAAAGUGGUUCACAAAACAAAGGUUCUUCUGACUCCCAGCAACCUCUGCAAUCUGCUAGCACCUCCAAGAUAACAACUUUUGCUACCAAGCUUACAAGUAGAAUCCGUUCUCGGAUAAGGACAGGCCAGAAUUGCGAGAGACAGUGUGCUAGUGGCUGUGAGGAACAGUAUUCUGAACAUGAUGUCAGGGCGAACCUGACAACAAGUGAGGCAAGCACCCCGAAUGAGGAUGUACGGUUUGGUGUCUUUGCUGCUGAAGAGAAAUCCCCUCGGGAGUUGAGCAAAACAAGUACUGAUAAUCCAGGAGAAGGAAAAGUAGGGUUUCACAAAAAAAUUAGUUCAAAGGCCGAGGCAUUGCUGGCCAAGAAGGGGAUAUCCUGGCCUCGGAAAGGGCGUGAAAAUGAUGGGAGUUCUGGGAAGAGUAACAUAACCUCAACACAUUUGCAUGAUAAGCAAGAGAGUGACCAGAGUCAUCAGAGAGUUCCAGUUCUAGAGCCUAUCAUGAUUCCAGACUGCCAAGACACUGAAUACGCCCAGUCAAGCAAAUAUGAGUUCUCAGGUUCCUGGUGGACUUUUAACAACACCAGUAGUAUGAACAGCACAAGUACUAUUGGGAGUCCUAUCGAGAGAGUGGAUUAUGAAACAGACUGCUUAGAUUAUGAGAUUCUGUGGGAAGAUCUAGUAAUUGGAGAACAAGUAGGUCAAGGUUCUUGUGGAACAGUGUAUCAUGCUUUGUGGUGUGGCUCGGAUGUGGCAGUUAAACUGUUCUCCAAGCAGGAAUAUUCGGAAGAAAUGAUAAAUGCCUUCAGACAAGAGGUAUCAUUGAUGAAGAAACUACGACAUCCCAGUAUAAUACUUUUCAUGGGCGCAGUUGCAUCACAGGAACGACUUUGUAUUGUUACAGAAUUCCUCCCACGAGGGAGUUUGUUUCAGUUGCUUCAAAAGAACACUGGCAAGCUGGAUCCAAGACGGAAACUUAGCAUGGCCAUAGACAUCGCAAGGGGCAUGAAUUAUCUUCACAAUUCUAUCCCCACUAUUGUACACCGUGAUUUAAAAUCAUCAAACCUGUUGGUUGAUAAGAAUUGGACUGUAAAGACUUUGGUCUUUCGCGCCUCAAACUUGAAACAUUUCUGACAACAAAAGGUGGAAAAGGAACACCGCAGUGGAUGGCUCCAGAAGUGUUACGCAGUGAACCUUCAAAUGAGAAGUCUGAUGUAUACAGCUAUGGAGUGGUCCUGUGGGAGCUUGUUACUCAGAAGAUACCAUGGGAUACUCUCAAUCCAAUGCAGGUGUGUUUUGCUAUGUGUUAUGUAUGUUGGUUGGGUAGUUAAUAUUCUGAUUUUAUAUCAAUAUUUGGUGCUAACUGUGUGAUUUGGACUUCAGUGGUGUUGUUUCCUACAGCAGGUCGAGAAAGAGUGCCAGCUUGAUCUGUAUUAAAAAUCUACCAAGAUACAACCAGUAAUAAUAAUAAACUUGAUAUUUCUUUACUCCAUUAUUUCCUCCAUUCUCUUUUCAGUCUAGCGGCAAGAUUAACACUGAGAUGCUUUUGUCAGGGCUUGGUUUUUCUGCUGAUGAAUUUGCAUAAAAGGUUCUUAAAAGUUUUUAACUCCCGAAGCUUAGGGUGUCGUCCAUUCUCCUUUUCACCCUUAGAAAAAAGUCUUUAGAUAUCCCUUUUUUGUAUGUCCUAGAGCCAACAAUCCCUUGAAAAGUACUCGUACUAGCUAACUGGUGAAUGGUGUAUCGUUACGAAAAACUGGAAUCAGCACCGCUGCAGUUUAAGAAAAAAACCACUUGCUUGUUUAUAUAUAAGCAUGCUAGAAGGCAAGAAUCUCUUAACUCUGUGAUCCCUAUGUGGCAGAUUAUCGCAGCUGUGGGCUUCAUGGAUCGUAGACUGCAAAUUCCGAGCAACACGGACCCUCAGUGGGCAUCGAUCAUCGAGAGCUGCUGGGAUAGGUACAUUAUUACUGUCUUGUGCACCACUCCGGCAUAACAUUUUUCCGGUGCUGCUAAAGGGUUAUCCUUCCUUUUCCAUGAGCAGUGACCCGCAGUGUCGCCCCUCAUUCCAAGAGCUCCUGGAGAGGCUCCAGGACCUGCAAAAGCAGUACGCCGUGCAGGCUCGGACGCGGCGUGAAGCGGCUGGGAAAGGUGCUGGGAAGAUGAACGCUGAAGAUUGCUAGCUUCGUUUCCUGAGGUGGGUGAACUGCAGCUGCCAUUUUGAGUAUGGUUGGUUGGUUGGGCGCGAGCUGAGAAGGUUGAGGUAUGUUUUCCGUGUCACUUCCCAUAGGAGGAGCGAUGGCCGGCCCAAGCAGGAAUGUACUUGUGUAGCACUCAAAUCGUUAGCUGAAGCUUUGGGGUUGCAGUUUGCUUGUGAGUUGUGACGUGAGAUGAGACUUCCAGAUGUAGUAACGCAUAUAAUUUGUGUCAAGUCGUAAUGGGUUAUGUACUA